UACGUAGGUGGCAAGCGUUGUCCGGAAUUAUUGGGCGUAAAGCGCGCGCAGACGGUCCUUUAAGUCUGAUGUGAAAGCCCACGGCUCAACCGUGGAGGGUCAUUGGAAACUGGAGGACUUGAGUACAGAAGAGGAAAGUGGAAUUCCACGUGUAGCGGUGAAAUGCGUAGAGAUGUGGAGGAACACCAGUGGCGAAGGCGACUUUCUGGCCUGUUCUUGACGCUGAGGCGCGAAAGCUAGGGGAGCAAACGGG
rnacentral:rRNA from 1 species